GGCUUUAGAAGGAUCAGUUUAGAAGCAGUGUGGAACAUACAUCGAAAAGCUGCAAAACUGUAGGGUAGUUGUUGGAUGACUGCGGUGACUCAUGCACAUGAGAAUAGAGCUUUGAAGAGUAAUGACAUUGAGUGACGUUCCAAUUUCUGAGCUCAGAGUGAGAAGUGGCAGCUUUCACUUCCCGCCUCCUGAGCCACCCCAUUAAGAACCCUGCCAGAGAGAAUCCUGCUAGAAUGCGAGAGACCACAGUGAAGAGCAGUAAGGCUCCAGACUGGUUAAGUGGAGAAGUGACGAGGAGAAACCAUUUUCUUUAGGAGAGUGCCUCGAUGAAUACUCUUGGAAUGGGUGAAUCCUUGUAAAGGAGUGUGCAAACAGGGAUGUUGCUGGAAGGAAUAUGAAGUCAUUGAGAACUUUUAAGAUGCCAUCCAGGAUGUGGAGAUGUAAGAAUGGGUACCAGAAUUCUGCAUAUUGAGGACUGAAUAGAAGAUGAGAAAAUGAAGG